GAACAGCUCAGAAAUGCUGGUGUCAUUCCUCCCCUGGAAGGAAUGACCGGAAGGAGCAAGGGUGUUACGACCAUGAGGGAGACAGCAAGUGCUAAAGCUGCAUCUGUACCUACUAUCAAGGUAACAGAGCUCCUGUCACGCUGUGUCUAGAGGACUGCAUAGCUACAGCUAAUAGGAGAGCAACAGCACGGCAAAGUAAAGAAGGAGAGACACAGGCUGCUGCUGCAUACGUUUGUCUAUAUGUUACUCAUGGUGAUAAGAGACUCAAAGGAUCUGAAGAAGCAACAUACGAAGCUGCAUACUUCAAUCUCAAGUGGAAAGAUUUACUGGAAGUUUCCACUGCAGGAUGUGGAGAACACUCAGACAUUCAGUGAAAAACAAUACAUAACUUUCUGAUGUACGACAUAUCAUUGGGCUGUACAGGGAUGUGGAGAACACUUGGACAUUCAGCAUAAGUUUAAAUUACUUCAAAUGCCUUAAAAAGCACAGACUAUUAUUUCAUUAUUUUGAAUAGAAUAAAAGGAAAUCUUAAUACGUGAUUUCUUUUCUUCUUUCUAUUACUAUGAGA